UGUCAUUCUAGAUACACUUUCCAGUACAUCUACUAUGUUACGACUUAUCUUACCUUAAUAAUAAGAGCGACGGGCGAUGUGUACAUAUUUUAGAGCUAAAAUCAAAUUAUUAAUCUUUAUAAUUUUACUACCAAAUCCACCUUCAAAAAUUUUUUCAUAGUUUUAUCUGUUUAAAUAAAUUUAUUGUAACCCAUUAUUACUUAAAUAUAAGCUACACCUUGAUCUGAUAUACAUUUUAAUAAAAAUUAUUGAAUAUUAUUAUUCUUAUAAAAUAUUCUGAUAACGACGGUAUAUAAACUGAUUACAAACUUAAGUAAGGUCCAUCGUGGAUUAUCGAUUACAAAACAGGUUCCUCUGGAUAGACUAAAAUACCGCCAAAUUUUUUAAGUUUCAAGAACUUAUCUAUUACUACUUAAGUAUUAAUACUUACAUUUUAAAUAAUAGGGUAUCUAAUCC
rnacentral:rRNA from 2 species